rnacentral:lncRNA from 1 species
AGGACCCCCACGGCCGGCUCUCUCGCGCCCUCGCAGCUCUCUCUCUCCCGCUCAAACCCUAGCAACCAUAACAAUGCAUGUAAGAGAAAUUUUGCACAAAGGAAUUUGUGAGGAGAUAAUAUUGAUCACACUGGCCUGCAAGGAAGUUGGUUAGCCCGAGAUUUGCAAUAAAUUGCAUGAACUCCUGGUAGAAAUCUGUGUCACUCAUGAAAGGUGUAUGGGGCUAUUCACAUGGUCGAACCUCCCUGACAUGAGAGAGGUUGAUAUCUUCAUAUUGGGCAUUCCCAAUAAUUCCUUGGGGCUCCGGCUUGAAGAAUCUCUCGUGAAGAUGUUCAUUUUUUUGGAACAAAUUUCUGGAAUUUUUGGACCACAAAAUUAUGUCAAGAAAACUUUGUAAGAUUGAUAGUAACUACUCAUAUAGAUGCCUAAAGGCCAUAUCAAGCAUUCAAACUACUUGGACCUCAAAGAAUUCAACAUGCAAGCUCAUUUUUAGUAGCACCAAGAGCAGUAAAAUAAGAAAAAUGUAAUCCACUAAAGCAAAAACUAAUUGGAGCAAUGGGAGAGUCACCUGCCAAGGAGCAAUCCCUCAAAACAGUUUAAGAAAUGGAUUUCUGAGCAGAGAAAUCUCACGUUUG